rnacentral:rRNA from 1 species
GAUGAACGCUGGCGGCGUGCCUAAUACAUGCAAGUCGAGCGAACAGACGAGGAGCUUGCUCCUCUGACGUUAGCGGCGGACGGGUGAGUAACACGUGGAUAACCUACCUAUAAGACUGGGAUAACUUCGGGAAACCGGAGCUAAUACCGGAUAAUAUAUUGAACCGCAUGGUUCAAUAGUGAAAGACGGUUUUGCUGUCACUUAUAGAUGGAUCCGCGUCGCAUUAGCUAGUUGGUAAGGUAACGGCUUACCAAGGCGACGAUGCGUAGCCGACCUGAGAGGGUGAUCGGCCACACUGGAACGGAGACACGGUCCAGGCUCCUACGGGAGGCAGCAGUAGGGAAUCUUCCGCAAUGGGCGAAAGCCUGACGGAGCAACGCCGCGUGAGUGAUGAAGGUCUUCGGAUCGUAAAACUCUGUUAUUAGGGAAGAACAAAUGUGUAAGUAACUAUGCACGUCUUGACGGUACCUAAUCAGAAAGCCACGGCUAACUACGUG